ensembl:lncRNA
AAAAAAAAAAAAAAAUUGGACUGGAUUGAAAUGCAGCAUGAAUCAUAAGAGAAGUUUAGAAGCACAUGAAGAUGAAUGGGUCCCCAGUGACUCAACAGAGAACAUCUGGAGCAGGUCACAUUUUGAAGCUUUUCUGUGUAAUUAUUAGAGACUGAAAACUUCUUUAAAAACAAAAGUCCAGAUGAUUCUGUGUUCCUAAGACUCUACAAGCAAGAACAUCAGCAUCCUUGUUGCCCCAGAAAUGAAGAAAAGUUUUCAAGUACAUCUAAAUAUUAUCUAACACCUGAGAGAUGUCAAGGAGACGAAGUCAAUCUCAUCACAGUGGAAAGUCAAGAGAUUAUGGACAUGUGUUGAAACAAGAAAUUGUCAAAUGGGAUGUGAGAAAAAGCUUUUUCACCACAAGGACAGUGGAACAGAGGAAGAGGCUGCCCAGUGAAGAUGAAUCUUUUGAAAAUUACUGAAUACAAAGAGGCUACACUUUAUUGGGAAUUCCCUGCACUGCAACUGAUUGAAAGCUAGAAGAAUAUGAGAUUUAUGGCCAUCCGUUUAUGACCAUAUAAUAAAUGAGUUGGGUCUCAGUAGAUUUAUCUGGAUCUAGCCUUAGUCUAAACUGAAUUGAAAAUAGCUGUUCUUAAUUUUGUAUCAUACUUUCCUCCAUUUUACAGUAAAUUUGGGGGGGGAGGGGAGGAAGGUAAAAAAGCUCAUAUGAACUGGAUGGGCAAGAGGGAUGGAUGUGUGUGUGUAAUCUGAAGAGUGGGAAGUUCAAGCACCCUGAACUCCACCUUUUAACAAAGUACAAAUCUAUGAGGGGUACUGGUCUCCCUCAGCUGAUUGGGAACUUAGUUUGUUCAGAGCAUAGGCCUCCAGCAUGUGCACAGAGCCAUGGCCCAGACCUCCCACAGCUUGUUUGGGCUCAGAUUUGCUUCCUCACAGCUCCGUCCAGCCACUGGCAAACUGAUUUUUGGUUAAUGUUUUCAUAGAUAUCUGAGGGAUUUCUUUACCACGCAUACACUCUAACAAAAAAUAACAAGCUCUUGCAAAUCUUUCCAAAGGAGUAAGAUAUCCGCGUCUGACUUCACUUCUGUGUGAAUAUCACCAGGACACCAACAUAUUGUGUGGGACUUUUUCCCACUCUUCUUGCAUAUGGAAAUGAAAAGGGUCUCUAGUACUCCUUUUUUGCAACCCCCCUCAUGACUUUUAUAUCAUGUUGUCAGUUUGGGGUGCUUUGCAGCUAUUCCAUUUGUCAAUCAGAACAGGUUAAUAAUAGAAAAAUUAUUCAUG